ensembl:lncRNA
GGGGAUUUUCAGGAGUCGGGCCCCGCCCACCUGCGGCCUUUUACGCUUGGUCUCCGAGGGGCUUUGGCGCUGGCGGCGGGUCCUCCAGCGCAUGCUAGUGUAUUACCACGUGCGCAUAAUAAGGGGCAGGCUCCUGGAAGCCGGAUCCUCCGCCAUCUCGGGCCAAGCCUGGGUUCAAGCCGGUGUUUGAGGUCUCCCGGGUCUGUCGUUCCUCUCGCUGAACAAAGGGUUUCUGGUGACCAGAAUGGAACCCUCUGGGACACCCAACUCACUCCAGAGCCCACAGACAGCAUCCUGGGAAAGCUGGCGGAAGCUGACAAAGGGUGCUCCUGGAAGACUCCGACCUAGAUGAAAAAGUGGCCUGGCUGUUGGGCCAGAAGCCCUCUCUGUCGUUGAGGUUCACUCCCAGUGGCCGGAAAUGCCACCGAGAGAUGCGCGCUGCGUGGGGGUUCUGAACGAUCGGCUUCAGCACCCGGCCCAGGUGGACAGCGACGAGCGCAGCAGCCCGCCUCACCCUCCCUGCGCGGCCACUGCGCGCGCCUCGCCUCUGACCCCUGCCAGCAGCGUGCCCAGCGCCACGUCCAGCGCCAGCACCUCGGCGCUGUCUGGCCACGCGAUCGCCUUGUACAUCUCCCUGUGCCUCCUUGCCCAGGCCUGCCAGGAGCUGUGUGCGCGUGUCCAGAGCUGCAGCUGCUCCCCAAGGCAGGGCUCCCUAUGUGGCCCCCUCUGUUGCCUCUCUCAGGGCUUCUAGGCACGUCCGUGGGGAGGCAGCAAGAACAUGUAAAAACUUCCCCAAGCUGGUGCUGAUAAGUAUACCCCUUCACGUCAUAAAGGGCUCUAGUCCCCGUUGAAGUCUGUCUUGCUUCUGGAGAUUUUCUAAAACCCUGUUUUGUUUUAAAAUGCAUUCAUCC